rnacentral:tRNA from 1 species
GGGGGUGUAGCUCAGUGGUAGAGCGCGUGCUUAGCAUGCAUGAGGCCCUGGGUUCAAUCCCCGGCACCUCCA